rnacentral:rRNA from 1 species
GUACUGUGCGAACGUUAUUCGGAAUCACUGGGCUUAAAGGGUGCGUAGGCGGCUGGAUAAGUAGGGUGUGAAAUCCCUCGGCUCAACCGAGGAACUGCGCUCUAAACUGUCCGGCUUGAGUGAGAUAGGGGUGUGCGGAACUUCCAGUGGAGCGGUGAAAUGUGUUGAUAUUGGAAGGAACGCCGGUGGCGAAAGCGGCACACUGGGUCUCAACUGACGCUGAGGCACGAAAGCCAGGGUAGCGAACGGGGGAUUAGAUACCCCGGUAGUCCUGGCCGUAAACGUUGAGCACUAGUUGGGAGGGGUUUCGGCCCUCUUCGAACGCAGCGAAAGCAUUAAGUGCUCCGCCUGGGGAGUAUGGUCGCAAGGCUG